ensembl:lncRNA
AUAUACACAGAAGAACUUCUCCCAUCACCAAAAUGUGCUCAGUUUCCUUGGGUGAUCUCAUUCAGGAAACAUGGACAUGGAACAGUUAUUUUACUUAGAAAAGCUUCAAGAUUCCAGAAAACAGCGUCAAGGCAAUCCUUAAAGGGUAUAUGAUGAAAGUGUGAGAAUCAAGGGGUUUUGGUGGCUGAUGUUAAUGCUGUGGAGAGCUGCUAAUGCAAGGCCCUGUGUGGCAGGGACGGAGUCUGCAAAGAUGAACUCAACGGCCAUUGCAUGGAGAUGAAGGUGAAGCUUAAGUUGCAAUAAACAACCUAAGACAUCAGAGAUACCAGGACUCUGUGAUGCUUGCCAAGGAAAGCCUCAGCAAGAGUAGAUUGGAGCCUGCACAAGGCAGAGGUCCUGUUCUCUGAAAACAAAUGCACUGGAGAUGUGUGGCUAUCCAAGGACAUUGGAGUCUGGAUGGCUUCAUUAUAAGAACCUAGAUAAUGAUUUAAGGUGCAGGAUUUGGUUUGGACCUGCUGGGUUUCAAUCUUGUCUUGGUCUGAUUGUUCCUGCUGUAAGAAAAAAAUAUUUCCCCUUUCAGAAUAAGAAGGUUUGCUUUACACCAUUGGAUAUAUCUAACACUUAUUUUGUAUUGUAGAGGGCCUCACAGUUAACCGAUUGCCUUAGACUUAAAUGAGAGUGUCUUUAAAGAGCUUGUGUGGGUAUGUCAAUAGAUAUGUAACUUAGGGGCAAAGGCCUACAAUGGGCAUCACUGGGUUGGAGGCUCAGAAAAAAAGGACAAAGCAAGCAGAACACUGGUGUUGAUCAGUCUGUGCUUCCUGACUGCAGACAGCAGGUGACCAGGUAUCGCCCAUUUCUGCUGCCAUGCUUUCUCCAACAUGACCCUGUAUGCUCAAACCAUGAAGCAAAAAGCUCCAGCGGUGACCCAAAGUCCACUCUUUCCUUUUUAUUUUUCUUGGGGAUUUUGCAACAGCAAUGACACUAAUACAGUAGCCCUUGGCAUGCUUUGCUUGCUCCUUAGUGUCAUACAUCUGAGAAUUUCACAUUUCAUAGUUCAGUUACCUUCUGUGAGUCAGAUGGAAUUUAAAAAUAAACGUCUAUUCUUAUCUAAAUAUUUGCAUAUAUAUGUUUUAAAUGACUAUAAUGUCUG